UACGUAGUGGGCAAGCGUUGUCCGGAAUUAUUGGGCGUAAAGCGCGUGUAGGCGGCUUUGCAAGUCGGGUGUGAAAGCCCUCAGCUCAACUGAGGAAGUGCGCCCGAAACUGCAGAGCUUGAGUACCGGAGAGGAUGGCGGAAUUCCCCAAGUAGAGGUGAAAUUCGUAGAUAUGGGGAGGAACACCGGUGGCGAAGGCGGCCAUCUGGACGGAUACUGACGCUGAGACGCGAAAGCGGGGGGAGCAAACAGG
rnacentral:rRNA from 1 species